rnacentral:rRNA from 1 species
AGAGUUUGAUCCUGGCUCAGGACGAACGCUGGCGGCGUGCUUAACACAUGCAAGUCAAGGACCGUAGCAAUACGGGACUGGCGCACGGGUGCGGAACACGUAGGCAAUCUGCCCUUGAAGGGAGAACAACCAGUCGAAAGAUUGGCUAAAUCUCCGUAAAAUCAUAGAGUGGCAUCACUUAUUGAUCAAGUUUUUUCAAGGAUGAGCCUGCGUCUGAUUAGCUAGUUGGCGGGGUAACGGCCCACCAAGGCUACGAUCAGUAGCUGGUCUGAGAGGAUGAUCAGCCACAUUGGGACUGAGAUACGGCCCAGACUCCUACGGGAGGCAGCAGUGAGGAAUAUUGCUCAAUGGGGGAAACCCUGAAGCAACAACGCCGCGUAAAGGAUGAAGGCGCUUUGCGUUGUAAACUUUUGUAGUCGGGGACAAACCGGGAGUUACUACUCCCCUGAUGGUACCCGAAAAGUAAGGAUCGGCUAACUACGUGCCAGCAGCCGCGGUAAUACGUAGGAUCCGAGCGUUGUCCGGAUUUACUGGGUGUAAAGGGUGCGCAGGCGGACUGGUAAGUCAGAGGUGAAAUCUCGUCGCUUAACGACGAAACUGCCUUUGAUACUAUCAGUCUUGAAUCCGGUAGAGAUCUGUGGAAUUCCGAGUGUAGCAGUGAAAUGUGUAGAUAUUCGGAAGAACACCAGUGGCGAAGGCAGCAGAUUGGGCCGGUAUUGACGCUCAGGCACGAAAGCAUGGGGAUCAAACAGGAUUAGAGACCCUGGUAGUCCAUGCCCUAAACGAUGUUCACUUGAUGUCUGCCCUCAGGGUAGG